GUACAGUUUUGUACUUUGCUCUUAAGUUGUUUAUUUGAUAACCCUGUUUCUGGUUAAGGGCUCUAAAGAUGACUCGCUUAUCAGGAGAUAAACUUAUAUUUAUAAUAAGAUAAUGCACUGCUUUUCCCAGUGCUUGGAGUUUCAUUAAACUUUAAACUACUUUGAAACUCCUUUUUACUGUUUAUGCAUAUAGUUACUCUAUAGCCUUUUGCCUCUCAAUUUGCUCACUUCAUAUUCCUAGCAUCAGGUAAAGACAAAAAUGAUGAUUCUUAUGCCACAAAUGGAAUGCACAUGCUCUUUAAAAUAUAACACAAGAGCUAAAUAGUCAACCAUUUCUACUUCUACACAUUGUCAAGAAGUGAUUGAACUGAAAUUUGCCAUGUGUGUUGAGAAUAUGGUGUCAAAACAAGUGUACCUUUUUUGUUGUCACUUGCGUCUAGGCGACCAAGGCUUUGGAGGGAGCUGGACGCAAGAAGACAUGAACAAGGCGAUGUCUUGAUAACUAUGCUUUUUUGGAUUCAUCUGCUACCAUGUGGCACCAAUAAUUGUUAAAAUAUACCUUGAACGAUUAACUUUAAUGAUAUUUUAGUUUAUUCAUGACUAUAUGUAUUCUUAGCAGUCAUCAAC